rnacentral:misc_RNA from 1 species
AUCAAAACAUCAAAUUCAAGAUUACGUCAAUUAUUAUGAUGGUUUAUUGGCAGAAUUUGUUUAUGGAAUUACUAUCAACAAACAAGGGAAAAAAGCUAAAAAGCUAUCUUUCUUCAUUGCAGAGUUUCCUGCAGUUAAAUUUGAUAUAAAAACCUACAUUUUCUGGGAUCACUAUGACCAUACAAAUUUUCCAAAUCAAUUCCUAUUAUAUAUAUUGCCAUGCCGCUAUAAUAAUAUACUGAAGCAACAAAGAUUUAGCUUUCUUUCAG